CCCUUAGAUGUUCUGAACCGCACGCGUGUUACACUGAUGCAUUCAACGAGCUUUACCUUGGCCGAGAGGCCUGGGAAAUCUUUUUAGCAUGCAUCGUGAUAGGGAUUGAUUAUUGCAAUUAUUAAUCAUGAACGAGGAAUUCCUAGUAAACGCAUUUCAUCAAAAUGCAUUGAUUACGUCCCUGCCCUUUGUACACACCGCCCGUCGCACCUACCGAUUGAGUGGUCCGGUGAAGUCUCGAGAUUGUGGCAAGCUCCUUUAUUGGAGUUUGACUGCGAGAACUUGCCUAAACCUUAUCACUUAGAGGAAGGUGAAGUCGUAACA
rnacentral:rRNA from 1 species